rnacentral:rRNA from 1 species
GACGAACGCUGGCGGCGUGCCUAAUACAUGCAAGUCGAACGCAGUGGGGACUGGUGAUUAACACGUGGGUAACCUCCCAUCAGAGGGGAUAACACUUGGAAACAGGUGCUAAACCGAUACUGCUGGAUGAACCCGCGGGGUAUUAGCGAGUUGGUGGGGUAACGGCUUACCAAGGCCACGAUGCAUAGCCGGUCUGAGAGGUUGAUCGGCCACACUGUGACUGAGACACGGCCCAGACUCCUACGGGAGGCAGCAGUGGGGAAUCUUCGGCAAUGGACGAAAGUCUGACCCAGCCACGCCGCGUGAGUGAAGAAGGUUUUCGGAUUGUAAAGCACUUUUGGUAGAGAAGCGGUACCUAACCAGGAAGCCACGGCUAACUACGUGCCAGCAGCCGCGGUAAUUC